rnacentral:lncRNA from 1 species
CCUGACCUAUACUGAUGCUGAGUGUCUGGGAAAGGAAACUUCAGCUGCCAGGAAGCUCAGAACUAAAUCCGAUGCAAGCCUGUGGGUCAUUCAAGCAGGCUCCCGUCCCCUGUUUUCGGAUCUGUCAGAUUCCCCUGGGACCCAGGCAGAUCCACGGAGACACACAGAGGAUGGAUUCACUGUCUAGCAGAGCAGCAGCAGCAGAUGGUAUGAAGCUCAGAAUCUCCAAUGAAGCCAUUUGCUGAGCCCAGGUGCCCAUCUGGUGCCAGCAUCAUCCAGCCAACCCUCAUCGUGGCAGGCCCAUGAGUGCUGGUCUCGGGCCCAAAGUUCUCAGAAGAGGGAGCUGAAUGGGAAAGAGGGGGACUGAUAUCCUGAGGCCACGGAGUUACCAGUGCUGAGAUUCACCUGGGUGCUGGCGCAGGACACACUCAUAAACACUAGUGUCCUGCUGAGUGGAACGUCUGUGGAGUGGACCCCUGGCCUCCUGGACCUAGUGUGGCUCUCACCCUACUGAGCUGUCUGCAUGUCAGUGACUGUCUCCUUCUGUCUGGACCUUGGUGGGCCUGCAAAGCUGAAUGCUGAUUCGUGAUCCUGUCCAAGGGUGAGGACGGCACCAGCCCCAAGCCUUCCUGUGACUGGUCCUCACACACCUUGGGAGUCCUCUUCAUUCGGCAUCAAUCUCCUGGCCCCAGUCAGGCCCCCCCAGCUUCUUAAAUCCCUGAGAGGGGGAGGGGGAAAGUGGGAACCCAGGUUUCAAAGAACACAGGUUUUCUGAAAUGAGGAAGAGGUCCCAAAUAAAGCAACAAUGGAAAGCUACUCACUGUGGUCUGUGGGCUGAGCUUCCUGAUCCUGCUGGGUGCUGAGGAGUCCUGGUAGUUGUGCGUUAAGGAGCUGGCCCUGGGUCCCAGUCAGAGCUACUGUUCAACAGCCACCCAAGUCAGCUUUCUCUUGCUUUUACUCUUUUUCACAGAUGAGUGAGCAUGAGGAGGUCUGGCCUUCCGUCCCUCUCACCACUUCCCCUCUGGGUCCCCAGUACCACAGCAUUCUGUCCCUGUAAUUGUGUUAUUUCUCACAAGGAACUCUGACCAGGGAGGGGAGGGGCAUCUGUAUAGCCCCUGGAGUCAAGGGACUUGAGUUCUAAUCCCAUGUAGCUCUUAUGACCUUGAGCAAUUCACUUAAUCUUCUUAAACC